GCGUCCGGUUAACUGUGUGGGAUGUAUCAAGUUCGCAGUCACGUCCGGUCAGAAGGGGGACGUUAAAUCCGAUGCCUCGUGUAAAGAGAGUGCCAUGCUCUUUGUACGUUAAGAACCCUUGCAACAACUCUUUGAGGGGUCCGUAGGUGGCCUGUUGCAAGGCAAAAUUUCUGUCCCUAUCCAAUAUACCCUCAUUUUCCAGUGGCAGUCCAAAUUUCCCCGACCAUCAUCCCAGAUGGCCUCUAUUGUAUCAAC
rnacentral:lncRNA from 1 species